CAGAGGUGUUCAGGGUUUUAGGCAAAAAGCCCCUUAGCGGACGUUUCUGGGUGAAUUAUAACUAAGGACAACUGAAGUACAUCAAAGUGAAGAAUGUUGGGGAAGAUUACAACAGAUCCACCUUACCUUACCAUCGCGAAUUUCGAGGACUGUCUGGCUUCUGAUGAUGUUCUGGUGRACUUCUUUAAUGACUUCCUCAGCCUACCUGUAAACAUCCUGUCACAUUUCUWCUUGGCCAUAUUAUUUACUUUAUUCAGUAACUAAACUUUUG